CUUAGUGAAUCGGUCUGUUGACCCACCAUAGUCCUGGCCUCUGCAAAGCCAUAGAAGUCUCCACUAAACCAGAUGUUUCCUGUUAGAGAGGCUGUGUCACCUCAGGGGGUGUCUUGGAGUGUGCCACCUGAUACUUACCUGAAUCUGUCCUUCGUGGGAUCCACCAUCAUCGAUUUUCAGUAUCUACCAGGAGCCCACGUCAGUGCUUUAUUCUCGUACAUGCACAUGUGUACAAUGCUGAAGUCUAUGGAGUACACUGCAUGAGUCGCUACUCGCAAGCCAAUGCCUCAUUCUCAGAGCUGUUGCUAGUAAUGGCUGUGGGGAGUGAUGAAACCUGAAGAUAGUAGGUCUGCCUUUUUUAAAAUUUUGUGGCGUUGGCAACGUAAGACAGAUUACUUGCUACUUUGUCUUACGACAUGUUUUCUUGUUUUGAAAUUUUAAUAACAUUCCAAUUCAGUCUUUAUGUGAUUUUAUCUUUAUGAAAUGCCCAAAAGUAUCAUAGGUAUAUAGUCUCAACAAAGCAUCUCCCACCCACAGUGUAUGGAGGAUAACAUAGUUACAUAGUUACAUAGCUGAAAAGAGACUUGCGUCCAUCAAAUUCAGC